GUCGAGCGGAGAUGAGGUGCUUGCACCUUAUCUUAGCGGCGGACGGGUGAGUAAUGCUUAGGAAUCUGCCUAUUAGUGGGGGACAACAUUCCGAAAGGAAUGCUAAUACCGCAUACGUCCUACGGGAGAAAGCAGGGGAUCUUCGGACCUUGCGCUGAUAGAUGAGCCUAAGUCGGAUUAGCUAGUUGGUGGGGUAAAGGCCUACCAAGGCGACGAUCUGUAGCGGGUCUGAGAGGAUGAUCCGCCACACCGGGACUGAGACACGGCCCAGACUCCUACGGGAGGCAGCAGUGGGGAAUAUUGGACAAUGGGGGGAACCCUGAUCCAGCCAUGCCGCGUGUGUGAAGAAGGCCUUAUGGUUGUAAAGCACUUUAAGCGAGGAGGAGGCUACUGAGACUAAUACUCUUGGAUAGUGGACGUUACUCGCAGAAUAAGCACCGGCUAACUCUGUGCCAGCAGCCGCGGUAAUACAGAGGGUGCGAGCGUUAAUCGGAUUUACUGGGCGUAAAGCGUGCGUAGGCGGCUUUUUAAGUCGGAUGUGAAAUCCCCGAGCUUAACUUGGGAAUUGCAUUCGAUACUGGGAAGCUAGAGUAUGGGAGAGGAUGGUAGAAUUCCAGGUGUAGCGGUGAAAUGCGUAGAGAUCUGGAGGAAUACCGAUGGCGAAGGCAGCCAUCUGGCCUAAUACUGACGCUGAGGUACGAAAGCAUGGGGAGCAAACAGGAUUAGAUACCCUGGUAGUCCAUGCCGUAAACGAUGUCUACUAGCCGUUGGGGCCUUUGAGGCUUUAGUGGCGCAGCUAACGCGAUAAGUAGACCGCCUGGGGAGUACGGUCGCAAGACUAAAACUCAAAUGAAUUGACGGGGGCCCGCACAAGCGGUGGAGCAUGUGGUUUAAUUCGAUGCAACGCGAAGAACCUUACCUGGCCUUGACAUACUAGAAACUUUCCAGAGAUGGAUUGGUGCCUUCGGGAAUCUAGGUACAGGUGCUGCAUGG
rnacentral:rRNA from 1 species